rnacentral:lncRNA from 1 species
GGUUAGGCUUAUCUUGUCAAAACAGGACAUUCUCAUGUGGUUUAGCAAUAUAACAUUGUGGAAGUCUCUUCUUGUUAGGGAGUUCUCAAGACUGCCACAAUGGGCUCGUUCUUCUUGCUUAAAUUGUUUGGUGAGUAAAUUACAAUCCGACUUUAGGCGAGUUUUACAAGUGGUGGUGGCAUAAUCAGCUUGUGCCAUCUCUUACAUGCAUUUGGUUAGUCCAAGGAUAAACAUUCACUUCCAUAGACACAUUUUGAGAGCAUUGCAGUUUGUGUAAGUCAGGACUUUCUUACACUAUGUAUAACAGAAAAGGAUAAUCCUCAGAUUUGAUCAGCAACAAAUCUUCAGUUAUUCAUUACACCCCUGCUCUGAUGCUGGUCAUACCAGGAAGGUGGGAAGGUGGGAGGUGUGCCUGGGCACAGCACGUGUAGUGAUAGCAGGAAGGCACCUUCUCUCCAGCAGCACAGAAAGGCAGCAGGUUCCUCCCAGACCCACAGAGCCACCCUGCUGCCGGUGGCUGAGAGGGGACAGAGUCCACCUCCCUCCCUGGUGGAUUCAGCACAUUCUUUUAUCAUGGCCAACCUCUCAACGGGUGCAGUGGAAGCUGUAAAACUGGGGAGAACGGCAAAGGAGGAAGGAAAAAGUCCAUGUGGCUUAUCUACAGAGGACAAAAUUUCCCCAAGGACCAUGCUCUUGGUUGACAACCAUCUCGCAUCCCGGCCAAAGGCACAUUUGACUUGGUCUGCUUCCACGCAUAAGGAGCAGCCAAAGUGGACAGCAGCUGCAGGUAUCAAGGGCUUCAUGAAAAUCAGUUUUACAUCCCUGUGUCCCUUCAACCUGCCAGUCCCUUCACCAGGGCAGAGGGACCACCCUUCCUGCCAGAAGCGCAAGCGUCACGCAACCGGUGGCAGAACCACAGCGCAGCAAGUGAAAGUUACAAGACGGUUGCAGAAGCGAAGACCGAAGGGCACUUCCCUCACCCAGCCUUCCUGUUUGAGCGCACCGAACGUGUACACACCUACUGUUUACAACCCUGCAAAACAAAUACCAAAGGUAACUCUGGAGCACUGAGAUAACUGCCGUUGCAGAUGUCAGUGUCACUUUCCUCAAUCCUGUCUUUUUCACUAUGCAGAAAUGCUUUAGAGUAUGUAAAAGAGCCUCUCUUUGCUUAGCAGCUCGUUUCCUAACCCGGGGAAGCCCUCGUAAGCACCUGUGCGGAGGUGACAGAGAGCGUCUGGACGCUGUUGAAGAUGGAGAAAGCCAGGCACGUGCCGGUACCUCGUAGUUUCAAACCCAAGCUGUUACAGCAAUUAACGAUCGUACCCCGCGGGCACUUGUUACUCGGAGCGCCCAGCACUCCUUCCAACGGCUGCGAGAGAGGACCCGGGGGUUCUCGGGGAGCCGCGGGUCACCCGCGGCCGGGGGGUCCCUCCCUGCCCGCCUCGGCCCCUCAGGUGAGGGAAGGAGAAACCGCCGGCCGCGGCCGACGCGUCUCGCCCAGCCCCGGGCAGGACCGUCCGGCCCGCCUCAGCGCGGCAGCGGGCCGAGGCCCG